rnacentral:rRNA from 1 species
GUGAGGAAUAUUGGUCAAUGGGCGGGAGCCUGAACCAGCCAAGUCGCGUGAAGGAAGAAGGAUCUAUGGUUCGUAAACUUCUUUUGCAGGGGAAUAAAGUGCAGGACGUGUCCUGUUUUGUAUGUACCCUGAGAAUAAGGAUCGGCUAACUCCGUGCCAGCAGCCGCGGUAAUACGGAGGAUCCGAGCGUUAUCCGGAUUUAUUGGGUUUAAAGGGUGCGUAGGUGGUUUGAUAAGUCAGCGGUGAAAGUUUGCAGCUUAACUGUAAAAAUGCCGUUGAAACUGUCGGACUUGAGUGUAAAUGAGGUAGGCAGAAUGCGUGGUGUAGCGGUGACAUGCAUAGAUAUCACGCAGAACUCCGAUUGCGAAGGCAGCUUACUAAGCUACAACUGACACUGAAGCACGAAAGCGUUAGGAUCAAUCAGGAUUAGAAACCCCUGUAGUCC